rnacentral:rRNA from 1 species
UACAGGGGGGGCAAGCGUUGUUCGGAAUUACUGGGCGUAAAGGGUCUGUAGGUGGCCAACUAAGUCAGACGUGAAAUCCCUCAGCUUAACUGGGGAACUGCGUCUGAUACUGGAUGGCUUGAGUGUGGGAGAGGAAUGCGGAAUUCCAGGUGUAGCGGUGAAAUGCGUAGAUAUGCGGAGGAACACCGAUGGCGAAGGCAAUCCCCUGGGCCUGCACUGACGCUCAUGCACGAAAGCGUGGGGAGCAAACAGG